CCGACUGAGCCACCCAGGCGUCCCUAAGGUCUAACUCUUAUAAUAAAUUCCUUAUUCCAUCACACUUACAGUGGUUCUGCCUCCUGGAUUGAACCCUGAGUGAUAAGGCAGCCCACCUCUCCAGGUAGACCUCAUUUCUCUCUCCUGGAAAAUGGGGAUGGUGUGAGACAUACCAGUUCCAGGAAGGGGGCUGAAUGCAGGUGCUAGGUCUGAGCCUGGGAUUGACUCUGGAGAGUACAUUUGUCAUAGUCUGUGGACAAGCUUUAGGCCAGAAUCAUGACUCGGUCGGGCUUUUCAUCUAGACACCAGCUGUAGGAGCCCUGCAGAGCAGGGCCCUCAUGAGGUCAGUGGACAGGUUUAUGCUGGUGGCAGAUAUGGGGGGUCCUUCUAAUGGUCUGAUUGGUUAUGUAGCACUGUGGGUGCCAUGACGGAGUGUUUAAGGCAAUGGCUGGCCAGAACCUUUUCUGAUUGGGCAACCCUAAAUUGGAACAUCAUUCUCCUGGGAAGCCAAUGAGUGCUGAGUUAGGAGGCUUCCAGGAAGCUGCUGAGAAGGGCAAGGAUGGCUCUUCGGGCAGAGACGCACUCUGCUGACUUGCUGGUGAGGAGGCUUGGCUCCCGUACGAUGAUGAGCUGGAGAGUGGGUUUGUAGAUGCUGGAUCAGGGUCCUGCACACACAGUGCCCGCCUACCUCUGGCCCCAGGUCAUGGCUCCCACUGUCACACCCUGCCUGCAGAUGUCCCCCUUCUCCACUGUCUUCAGGUCCCUGCUCAGAUGCCACCCCCUCGGAAUAGCCAGUACCACCAUGUGCAAACUAAUGCCCCGUCCCAUCACCCUCUACGCUCUUACCCUGCUCCACGUUUCUUUCCAAAGUAUCACCAUCUAACCCAGGAUGCAUUCCCAUGUUGUCUUUCUUCCUCCACUAGAAGGUAAAGCUCCACGAAGGCACUGCUCCUGUCUGUUUUGUUCACUACUGGAUCCGCGACACCCAGAACAGCACCUGGCUCACAGUAGACACCAGGGCCAAUUUGCUGCACCUCAGAACUGGUCUCCGUGUAAAGAAAAGUGUCCUGCUCUCACCUCUACCUGUCUUCAUUUGUGCUCGAGAACACCGAAGACAGCACCCCCAGCCUGGAGGAGGGCUGCUCCUCGGGGUCAGGAAGGCUGGUUUGAUCAGUUUUACACCCACGGGAGAGAAGGCUGAGCUUAGUCCCCACUCAGGCGAGCCUCAUGACCUCCCCGACCCUAUGUGCGAGGUGGGGCAUGAAGACGAGUCCUGCCUGUUGCCUGAGUGCUGUGGGAAUCAAGCACCGUGAAGACCCUGGAGAGACAGUCCCCUGCCCCCCAACACCAGCUCAUGAGGACUGAAGACAGCACUCAGAAGAUGCACAGCUCAGUGCCCGGCGCUCACAAAUGCCCAGCAAGUCUGGUGAGGAUGCCACUCUGAUGAUCAGGCACCAAUAACGCAUGAAUUCGUCUCCCGGCCUCACCACUGCCCACCCCCCACAACCUCAGGGAGAGAGAGAGAGCAAGCAAGCAGAAGCAGGAGGAGCG